AACGAACGCUGGCGGCAUGCCUAACACAUGCAAGUCGAACGAGACCUUCGGGUCUAGUGGCGCACGGGUGCGUAACGCGUGGGAAUCUGCCCUUAGGUUCGGAAUAACUCAGGGAAACUUGAGCUAAUACCGGAUGAUGACUUCGGUCUAAAGAUUUAUCGCCUAAGGAUGAGCCCGCGUAGGAUUAGCUUGUUGGUGAGGUAAAGGCUCACCAAGGCGACGAUCCUUAGCUGGUCUGAGAGGAUGAUCAGCCACACUGGGACUGGGACACGGCCCAGAAUCCUACGGGAGGCAGCAGUGGGGAAUAUUGGACAAUGGGCGAAAGCCUGAUCCAGCAAUGCCGCGUGAGUGAUGAAGGCCUUAGGGUUGGAAAGCUCUUUUGCCCGGGAUGAUAAUGACAGUACCGGGAGAAUAAGCCCCGGCUAACUCCGUGCCAGCCGCCGCGGUAACAC
rnacentral:rRNA from 1 species